rnacentral:rRNA from 1 species
UACGUAGGGUGCAAGCGUUGUCCGGAAUUAUUGGGCGUAAAGAGCUCGUAGGCGGUUUGUCGCGUCUGCCGUGAAAGUCCGGGGCUCAACUCCGGAUCUGCGGUGGGUACGGGCAGACUAGAGUGAUGUGGGGGAGACUGGAAUUCCUGGUGUAGCGGUGAAAUGCGCAGAUAUCAGGAGGAACACCGGUGGCGAAGGCGGCAUCCUGGACCAAUUCUGACGCUGAUGAGCGAAAGCCAGGGGAGCAAACGGG